rnacentral:rRNA from 1 species
GACGAACGCUGGCGGCGUGCUUAACACAUGCAAGUCGAACGGUGAAGGGACCGGUUUUUGCUGGUUCUGGAUGAGUGGCGAACGGGUGCGUAACACGUGAGUAACCUGCCCCCUUCUUCUGGAUAACCGCAUGAAAGUGUGGCUAAUACGGGAUAUUCUGCGCCUGCUGCAUGGUGGGUGUGGGAAAGAUAUUGUUUCGGUGGGGGAUGGGCUCGCGGCCUAUCAGCUUGUUGGUGGGGUGAUGGCCUACCAAGGCGGUGACGGGUAGCCGGCCUGAGAGGGUGGACGGUCACACUGGGACUGAGACACGGCCCAGACUCCUACGGGAGGCAGCAGUGGGGAAUAUUGCACAAUGGGCGCAAGCCUGAUGCAGCGACGCCGCGUGAGGGAUGGAGGCCUUCGGGUUGUAAACCUCUUUCGCCAGUGAAGCAGGCCUGUCCCUUUUGUGGGUGGGUUGACGGUAGCUGGAUAAGAAGCGCCGGCUAACUACGUG